CUGCGAAUACCGGAGAAUGUUAUCACGGGAGACACACGGCGGGUGCUAACGUCCGUCGUGAAGAGGGAAACAACCCAGACCGCCAGCUAAGGUCCCAAAGUCAUGGUUAAGUGGGAAACGAUGUGGGAAGGCCCAGACAGCCAGGAUGUUGGCUUAGAAGCAGCCAUCAUUUAAAGAAAGCGUAAUAGCUCACUGGUCGAGUCGGCCUGCGCGGAAGAUGUAACGGGGCUAAACCAUGCACCGAAGCUGCGGCAGCGAUGCUUAUGCGUUGUUGGGUAGGGGAGCGUUCUGUAAGCCUGCGAAGGUGUGCUGUGAGGCAUGCUGGAGGUAUCAGAAGUGCGAAUGCUGACAUAAGUAACGAUAAAGCGGGUGAAAAGCCCGCUCGCCGGAAGACCAAGGGUUCCUGUCCAACGUUAAUCGGGGCAGGGUGAGUCGACCCCUAAGGCGAGGCCGAAAGGCGUAGUCGAUGGGAAACAGGUUAAUAUUCCUGUACUUGGUGUUACUGCGAAGGGGGGACGGAGAAGGCUAUGUUGGCCGGGCGACGGUUGUCCCGGUUUAAGCGUGUAGGCUGGUUUUCCAGGCAAAUCCGGAAAAUCAAGGCUGAGGCGUGAUGACGAGGCACUACGGUGCUGAAGCAACAAAUGCCCUGCUUCCAGGAAAAGCCUCUAAGCAUCAGGUAACAUCAAAUCGUACCCCAAACCGACACAGGUGGUCAGGUAGAGAAUACCAAGGCGCUUGAGAGAACUCGGGUGAAGGAACUAGGCAAAAUGGUGCCGUAACUUCGGGAGAAGGCACGCUGAUAUGUAGGUGAAGUCCCUUGCGGAUGGAGCUGAAAUCAGUCGAAGAUACCAGCUGGCUGCAACUGUUUAUUAAAAACACAGCACUGUGCAAACACGAAAGUGGACGUAUACGGUGUGACGCCUGCCCGGUGCCGGAAGGUUAAUUGAUGGGGUCAGCGCAAGCGAAGCUCUUGAUCGAAGCCCCGGUAAACGGCGGCCGUAACUAUAACGGUCCUAAGGUAGCGAAAUUCCUUGUCGGGUAAGUUCCGACCUGCACGAAUGGCGUAAUGAUGGCCAGGCUGUCUCCACCCGAGACUCAGUGAAAUUGAACUCGCUGUGAAGAUGCAGUGUACCCGCGGCAAGACGGAAAGACCCCGUGAACCUUUACUAUAGCUUGACACUGAACAUUGAGCCUUGAUGUGUAGGAUAGGUGGGAGGCUUUGAAGUGUGGACGCCAGUCUGCAUGGAGCCGGCCUUGAAAUACCACCCUUUAAUGUUUGAUGUUCUAACGUGGACCCGUGAUCCGGGUUGCGGACAGUGUCUGGUGGGUAGUUUGACUGGGGCGGUCUCCUCCUAAAGAGUAACGGAGGAGCACGAAGGUUGGCUAAUCCUGGUCGGACAUCAGGAGGUUAGUGCAAUGGCAUAAGCCAGCUUGACUGCGAGCGUGACGGCGCGAGCAGGUGCGAAAGCAGGUCAUAGUGAUCCGGUGGUUCUGAAUGGAAGGGCCAUCGCUCAACGGAUAAAAGGUACUCCGGGGAUAACAGGCUGAUACCGCCCAAGAGUUCAUAUCGACGGCGGUGUUUGGCACCUCGAUGUCGGCUCAUCACAUCCUGGGGCUGAAGUAGGUCCCAAGGGUAUGGCUGUUCGCCAUUUAAAGUGGUACGCGAGCUGGGUUUAGAACGUCGUGAGACAGUUCGGUCCCUAUCUGCCGUG
rnacentral:rRNA from 1 species